rnacentral:rRNA from 1 species
GAUGAACGCUAGCGGGAGGCCUAACACAUGCAAGCCGAGCGGUAUUGUUUCUUCGGAAAUGAGAGAGCGGCGUACGGGUGCGUAACACGUGUGCAACCUGCCUUUAUCUGGGGGAUAGCCUUUCGAAAGGAAGAUUAAUACUCCAUAAUAUAUUGAACGGCAUCGUUUAAUAUUGAAAGCUCCGGCGGAUAGAGAUGGGCACGCGCAAGAUUAGCUAGUUGGUGAGGUAACGGCUCACCAAGGCGAUGAUCUUUAGGGGGCCUGAGAGGGUGAUCCCCCACACUGGUACUGAGACACGGACCAGACUCCUACGGGAGGCAGCAGUGAGGAAUAUUGGUCAAUGGGUGCAAGCCUGAACCAGCCAUCCCGCGUGAAGGACGACUGCCCUAUGGGUUGUAAACUUCUUUUGUAUAGGGAUAAACCUACCCUCGAGAGGGUAGCUGAAGGUACUAUACGAAUAGCACCGGCUAACUCCGCG